UACGUAGGUGGCAAGCGUUGUCCGGAAUUAUUGGGCGUAAAGCGCGCGCAGGCGGUCCUUUAAGUCUGAUGUGAAAGCCCACGGCUCAACCGUGGAGGGUCAUUGGAAACUGGGGGACUUGAGUGCAGAAGAGGAAAGUGGAAUUCCAUGUGUAGCGGUGAAAUGCGUAGAGAUAUGGAGGAACACCAGUGGCGAAGGCGACUUUCUGGUCUGUAACUGACACUGAGGCGCGAAAGCGUGGGGAGCAAACAGG
rnacentral:rRNA from 1 species